CCUACGGGAGGCUGCAGUGAGGAAUAUUGGUCAAUGGACGAGAGUCUGAACCAGCCAAGUAGCGUGAAGGAUGACUGCCCUAUGGGUUGUAAACUUCUUUUAUAUGGGAAUAAAAUGUUCCACGUGUGGGAUUUUGUAUGUACCAUAUGAAUAAGGAUCGGCUAACUCCGUGCCAGCAGCCGCGGUAAUACGGAGGAUCCGAGCGUUAUCCGGAUUUAUUGGGUUUAAAGGGAGCGUAGGUGGAUUGUUAAGUCAGUUGUGAAAGUUUGCGGAUCAACCGUAAAAUUGCAGUUGAAACUGGCAGUCUUGAGUACAGUAGAGGUGGGCGGAAUUCGUGGUGUAGCGGUGAAAUGCUUAGAUAUCACGAAGAACUCCGAUUGCGAAGGCAGUUCACUGGACUGCAACUGACACUGAGGCUCGAAAGUGUGGGUAUCAAACAGGAUUAGAUACCCGAGUAGUC
rnacentral:rRNA from 1 species